rnacentral:rRNA from 1 species
GAUGAACGCUGGCGGCGUGCCUAAUACAUGCAAGCCGAGCGAACGGACGAGAAGCUUGCUUCUCUGAUGUUAGCGGCGGACGGGUGAGUAACACGUGGAUAACCUACCUAUAAGACUGGGAUAACUUCGGGAAACCGGAGCUAAUACCGGAUAAUAUUUUGAACCGCAUGGUUCAAAAGUGAAAGACGGUCUUGCUGUCACUUAUAGAUGGAUCCGCGCUGCAUCAGCUAGUUGGUAAGGUAACGGCUUACCAAGGCAACGAUGCAUAGCCGACCUGAGAGGGUGAUCGGCCACACUGGAACCUAGGCACCGUCCAGACUCCUACGGGAGGCCGCAGUAGGGAAUCUUCCGCAAAGGGCGAAAGCCUGACGGAGCAACGCCGCGUGAGUGAUGAAGGUCUUCGGAUCGUAAAACUCUGUUAUUAGGGAAGAACAUAUGUGUAAGUAACUGUGCACAUCUUGACGGUACCUAAUCAGAAAGCCACGGCUAACUACGUG